CUGUGAAAGACAGAGGCAGAAAGAGGAAGUCACCUUGUGAUAAUCUGGUCAUUGGGAAAGGUACAGAGAGAAGUCGAGCUAUACUUCUUACAUUAAAUACAUUUUUAUGGAUGUUUGAUGAGGGGCCAGAAAGUGUUACCCAAUGAACCUCCAUGGUACCAAAUACAAUCAAGCUUGUCCCAGGUUUCUACUGUACAAUUUCUCAUUGAAAACUGCCUCAGCAUUUUUUAAGAAGACAUCACUUCCCCCUUGGGGAAGAAAGAACUCAACGACUUGAAGAAACAGUGAUGCUUCAGGUACCUUGAAAAAUUCAGCUGGUUUUGAUGAGAAACAGUCAAUGGGGCUGUUAGGGGUCCUGGCGGAUGCUUAGGCAGUGGCUGUCCUGGAUUCCAGGGAAUGCCCCAAACCCAGUGAUGCAGGACCCAGGACUCCAUCUGCUCAUUCUUCAUAAGGUUGGCUCACAGGUCAUCUGCUGAGAAGGUCAUCUUCUCCGUCUUCACUGGGCUCACUGAAUGAGGACAUUCCAAGAUCCCAGCUCAUCUCAUUUGAGCUUUCCUUUUCCUAAUCCCAUGCAUCUGUGUUUGAGAAAAUCUUCCCAAGUGAUAGAUCUUCUAUUUUCCGAUUUCUUCCAUGUUGUAUUACUUUUUUAUUAAUAAU
rnacentral:lncRNA from 1 species